UACGUAGGGGGCUAGCGUUGUCCGGAUUUAUUGGGCGUAAAGAGCGUGUAGGCGGCCAGGUAGGUCUGGUGUGAAAACUCGAGGCUCAACCUCGAGACGUCGGCGGAAACCAUCUGGCUAGAGUCCGGAAGAGGAGAGUGGAAUUCCUGGUGUAGCGGUGAAAUGCGCAGAUAUCAGGAAGAACACCCGUGGCGAAGGCGGCUCUCUGGGACGGUACUGACGCUGAGACGGCGAAAGCAUGGGGAGCGAACAGG
rnacentral:rRNA from 1 species